rnacentral:rRNA from 1 species
GACGAACGCUGGCGGCAGGCCUAACACACGCAAGUCGAGCGGUAACAGGAAUCAGCUUGCUGAUUCGCUGACGAGCGGCGGACGGGUGAGUAAUGUCUGGGAAACUGCCUGAUGGAGGGGGAUAACUACUGGAAACGGUAGCUAAUACCGCAUAACGUCUACGGACCAAAGUGGGGGACCUUCGGGCCUCAUGCCAUCAGAUGUGCCCAGAUGGGAUUAGCUAGUUGGUGGGGUAACGGCUCACCAAGGCGACGAUCCCUAGCUGGUCUGAGAGGAUGACCAGCCACACUGGAACUGAGACACGGUCCAGACUCCUACGGGAGGCAGCAGUGGGGAAUAUUGCACAAUGGGCGCAAGCCUGAUGCAGCCAUGCCGCGUGUAUGAAGAAGGCCUUCGGGUUGUAAAGUACUUUCAGCGGGGAGGAAGGUGUUGUGGUUAAUAACCGCAGCAAUUGACGUUACCCGCAGAAGAAGCACCGGCUAACUCCGUGCCAGCCGCCGCGGUAACAC